GCCUGGCUGGCUCAGUGGGUGAAGCAUGAGACUCUUAAUUUUGGGGUUGUGAGUUCGAGCCCCACGUUAGGGU
rnacentral:tRNA from 1 species